GCAAGAUUUUUCAGCACCUCUAGUAUCUCUUCAUUGCCAUUUUCUUUCUGCUGCUGUCAAGAGUUACGCCUGUUUAAGGAAAAAUGAUUCUGUUCUGCUAAAGUGCACAAUUAAAGGCAUUUUGAGCCAUAUUUCCUCUCCUUCACGGUUACAUCUAGUUAAUUUCAGAAAGGAGAACUCUUGGGCCUACUUAGAAGAGGGGAUUGAGGAGUGAACUUAUCUCAAGGUUUUAUAAACCAAAACCAUUUAAAGGUGGGAGCACAAGAGAUAGCACUCCAGACUCUGUAUUACCAGCUGAGCCGUGAAGAGCCUUGUCAAAGAUCCAGAGCAUGUAAU